rnacentral:rRNA from 1 species
GGGAUAGCCGCCCGAAAGGACGGGUAAUACCGGAUACCCCCGGGCGCCGCAUGGCGCCCGGGCUAAAGCCCCGACGGGAGGGGAUGGCUCCGCGGCCCACCAGGUAGACGGCGGGGUGACGGCCCACCGUGCCGACAACGGGUAGCCGGGUUGAGAGACCGACCGGCCAGAUUGGGACUGAGACACGGCCCAGACUCCUACGGGAGGCAGCAGUGGGGAAUCUUGCGCAAUGGGGGGAACCCUGACGCAGCGACGCCGCGUGCGGGACGGAGGCCUUCGGGUCGUAAACCGCUUUCAGCAGGGAAGAGUCAAGACUGUACCUGCAGAAGAAGCCCCGGCUAACUACGUGCCAGCAGCCGCGGUAAUACGUAGGGGGCGAGCGUUAUCCGGAUUCAUUGGGCGUAAAGCGCGCGUAGGCGGCCCGGCAGGCCGGGGGUCGAAGCGGGGGGCUCAACCCCCCGAAGCCCCCGGAACCUCCGCGGCUUGGGUCCGGUAGGGGAGGGUGGAACACCCGGUGUAGCGGUGGAAUGCGCAGAUAUCGGGUGGAACACCGGUGGCGAAGGCGGCCCUCUGGGCCGAGACCGACGCUGAGGCGCGAAAGCUGGGGGAGCGAACAGGAUUAGAUACCCUGGUAGUCCCAGCCGUAAACGAUGGACGCUAGGUGUGGGGGGACGAUCCCCCCGUGCCGCAG